UUUGUCUGUUGUAUGGUUGUA
rnacentral:piRNA from 1 species